AAAGUGGGCCGUGCAGCUGGUUCGCCCCCGUCCGCCAGGCGGGAAGCGUCGUAAGAGGGAACCCGGUGGGAAUCCGGGACUGCCCCGCAGCGGUGAGCGAGAACGACCGCCGUCAUACGCACUGGGCCCGGACGGGCCUGGGAAGCGACGGCCAGUAGGUGUCCGUCCCCGACCGACAGGUCGGGGCAGGCGUGCCCGCGAGUCCGAAGACCUGCCCGUUGCCCGCCGUGCGG
rnacentral:ncRNA from 1 species